GCUUUAUCAAUAAAAAUGAUUUGUAAUCAUUAUUAAGACUAGUUCUGUAAAGUA
rnacentral:tRNA from 1 species